rnacentral:rRNA from 1 species
UGCGCCUAGGCUUAUGGGUCCUUAACGGGGCUCUGUAUGUGCUAGGUGCUGGCCAGCAUGGGUUAGGCUAGUGGGAUAAAAGCUGGGGUUGAUUCCCGGUCUAUGCCACUGGCUUGACCAAGGCGUGAAGACUGCCCUUGUCCUUCGGGAACUGCAGUCUCAAGAUGCUGGCUAAGGCUUUCAACCGACCCGUCUUGAAACUCGGACCAAGGAGUCUAACAUGUAUGCGACUUGGUGGGAGGAAAACCCAUGAAGCGUAAGGAAACUGACUGGUGGGAUGGCCUGUGCCUGCACCAUCGACCGACCAUGCGUUUCUGCAAAAGGUUUGAGUGCGAGCAUACCUGUUGGGACCCGAAAGAUGGUGAAACUAUGCCUGAGCAGGGUGAAGCCAGGUGAAAACCUGGUGGAGGCUCGUAGAUGUGCUGACGUGCAAAUCGCUUUUCGGACUUGGGUAUAGGGGCGAAAGACUAAUCGAACCAUCUAGUAGCUGGUUUCCUCCGAAGUUUCCCCCAGGAUAGCUGGAGCUUAUUCGGAGUACGGUCAGGUAAAGCGAAUGAUUAGAGGUUCGGGGGAUGUAACAUCCUUCCCCUAUUCUCAAACUUUAAAUAGACCGGACGUCCAGGUUGCUUGAUUGAACCUGUGGCAUUCUAUCCGAGCUCC